rnacentral:lncRNA from 1 species
CAUUUUCAAACGAUCUCCUUUUUUCUUCCUCAUUUCCUCUUUACAAUGCUCCCUUAAGCAGACCAUCAUGGUUCUUUGUCUUUUCAUCCCUUGGUAAAGUAUGUCCUUGAUAAGUGAGUUUUCUCACUAUUUUGAUCGUUCCUCUAUUGGAUCGACCCAAUUCUUUGAAAUACCUUCCCAUUUUCAUAAUCCCUAUUACUUUAAAACUUCUAAACUUCAAGCCCUAAGUCCUUCUCAGAGGAAAUAGUCACCCCCCUUUCUUCAACGAAUUUUACCGGAGAAAUAUACUUAAUCAAUGCCUUGCCUGUCAAUUUCAACAGCCCUUGCUACCGCACUGGAGAGGCCAGAGCUAAGAUAAGUAUUUUCAUUUUCUUUUAAGCCUUCUUUUGCUAAGAUAUGAGGUACUUUAUUCUUUUGUUUCCAUGCAUGUUGAAAAAUACAAGUAACAAAGUUACUGCAUAAUCGUUUAGCAUCAACAAUAUAUGCUCUAAUUUUUUAUCCAUCUUCCUCUCGACUUUUUAAUUUUCGGAUGAUAGUUAAUGCAUCACCCUCGACUUCAAUUCGUAGGAAUUCAGAUUCUGCCCCAAAUCGAAUCGCCUGAACGUAUGCGAGAGCUUCUAC